rnacentral:rRNA from 1 species
AGUGAACGCCGGCGGUAGGCCUAACACAUGCAAGUCGAACGGCAGCACAGUAAGAGCUUGCUCUUACGGGUGGCGAGUGGCGGACGGGUGAGGAAUACAUCGGAAUCUACUUUUUCGUGGGGGAUAACGUAGGGAAACUUACGCUAAUACCGCAUACGACCUACGGGUGAAAGCAGGGGAUCUUCGGACCUUGCGCGAUUGAAUGAGCCGAUGUCGGAUUAGCUAGUUGGCGGGGUAAAGGCCCACCAAGGCGACGAUCCGUAGCUGGUCUGAGAGGAUGAUAGGCAACACUGGAAUGGAGACACGGUCAAGACUCCUACGGGAGGCAGCAGUGGGGAAUGUGGAACAAGGGGCGAAAGCCGGACCGAGAAAAGCCGCGGGGGGGAAGAAGGCAUUCGGAUUGUAAAACCUUUUUAUGGGAAAAGAAAAAAGGAGGAAGAAACCCCGGAUGUCGUGACGGAACAAAAUAAGAAAGACCCGGCUAACUACGUG